AGGUGGCGCCAGCGCUAAGGGCAUUCGCGCACCCCCGGGACGUACACCGCCACCCACAUAGAAAACAAACAGAACAGGAAAGGAGCACACACACACACACACACACAGACAUGCAAGCGGACGUCGCAUCUCCAGCAAAACAUCUCCUCUCUGACGUCUCUCCCUCUGCCUAACGUAUAUUGUUCAUCUUCCAUUUUCCUCUUCCCUGGUGCCCCGCAGCACUUCCUAGCUGCCGUCCCCUUCGUCCUGCGGCACGCGUACCGCCAAACGUCAGCGGGUGGGGUCCCUGCACGCAUCUCUGAGUGAGGGGCUGCGCGCUCGGGGUGGACGCUCUUGCCACCUAUCGCAUGCGCUCUCCCUACCUAGAGUCUCGAAGAGGCAGACGCGCGGUGUGUCUUGGUACACCGACGAGAUGAAGACGAUUGCCUGUCCGCAUUGCACCUUCAUCAAUCCGCCAAGUAAGGUGAAGUGCGGCGUUUGCCUUCGAUUGCUGCGGAAGCGCGAACGCACCGUGGCCGACGCCUCACCCGCGACAGCCAACAGAGGCCGGAAGGGGACUCCGUCACCGUCAUCCACUCCCACUGAGCACGACUCCCCAGCGACUGGCUCGUCACAAGUACGAUGCGACACGACAAAGUCUUCGAUGCCACUAGCAACGCCGAAGAGCGGCACAGUCGCUAGUGCCCAAGCCGUUCAACCACCUGAUGUGGAGGCGAUGGCGGCCGCCCCUCCGCUGGUCCCGACGCUGUUUUCCACGGCCUCUGGCAAGCCAGUAACGGUACGCCGAGAGUCUCUUCAAAAGGUGGCGGAGCGACUAGGCGACCUCGCCGCCCCCGACAUGGAGGCGCGUGUGCCGACGCUGUUCGAAACGGGAAGAGGGAAGGCGGUUACCGUGCAGAAACGUUCACUGGACAAGGCAGAGGCAUCUAUGGAUAGUCUGGAAGCCGACGGCGCGCCUUCAACAAGCGCGCCCGCACUCUCUGCCACAACUGGUGGCGCGGCGGUGCGAGUGCCGGCAGUACCUUUGCAGGCACCUGCUGAACGCUUGAGGCUAAAGUCGCUUUCAGACAAGGACGACACCUCGGACACGGCUGCCGUGCGCAGUAUAGGGGCACCUCGGCAAACAGCGCGAGCGGAGGCUCUGUCAAGGGGCUUGACAACAAGUACAUCUGAGUGCGGCCUUCGCGCUCUCGCCCUUCACGUCAUUGGGGGCCAGCGACGCGGCUUUGUGCCCCCGCAGCAGCGCCCCUCUGCACAACCGCUCGCCAAGCUGACACACGCGGUACCAUUGGUCAAGACCUCUGGGCUUACGAUUUUGCGAUUCAAUCCGGAUGCGUGCACGUGCCGUAGCAUCACCCCGAGCCCAUCACUGUCGUCCAUCACAUCGCUGAUGUUUUCUUUCAAGGGCAGCGACUGCGGCAAGGUUCUGGCAGCCUUGCUGGGUGUGAGCGGCGCUGAAUCGGUGCAACCGCUCCACUGGCAUGCGAUGCUGCUCAAGCUUGGCGCCAGCCCGAAACACUGCACGAUCAAUUGGUGCCGCCACGCGCUUGUUUCGGCGAUGGCGCGGGCGCAUUUCAUGACGAAAGUCCCAUCUGGCGCGCUGCCGAGCGCCUUCUCCCCCGUCACAGUUCUUCUGUGCGUCAUGCAGAUGUACAACGCAGAGAUGGUGAACGGCGAGCGCCCGGCACUGCGAAAGAUGGUGGAGGGAGAUAUUUCCAGCGCCUCCUUGGUGGUGCUGUACAUGAGCUCCGUUAGCGAGGAGCGCAGCUCGCCACACAUGCGCAUCGUGACCCUUUCCGACGGCAUUUACCAUCUCAAGGUGACGUGCGACGUCCCGCUAAGCAACUUGAUUCGCGAAGGGGUUCUAAAGCCGGGGCAAAGGAUGGCCGUGUGCGGUGCCAAGUCGCUUCUGCACAGACAGUGCGCGCCGACGGAGUGCGAGGAACAGGUGGUCCUCAGCAUCAACUACAACUGCGUGCGAGCGGUGGCUCAGCAAACCCCGCUGGGUGUGUGUCACGGAGAGCCGCUGCCUUUGCCCCUGUCGCUCGUGCACCCGCUCGGUGGACUAGUACCGGCGAUCGAAGGUGUGGUGGCACGAACGUUGCCGUCGUUUUUCGUUUCGGAGGAGGCGACGGAGACGCCGGGCACCCACGAUGGCGCGCGUCAGGCUCGCAAUCGCGUCUUCAAGACGGUGCGCAACGCUCACGCCCAGCUCCAGGUGAGCGACCGCCUGCGCAGGGAGGCAGAGGCGUGGGCAGAUGGUGAAGCAGCCCAGUCGAAGCCGCUUUCGCGAGUGACCUCGCUGCUCAUUGUGAAGGACAAUGCCGAGGCUCUCGUUCAACAGUGGGAGACAGUGGACGAGCGUGUCCUGCUGGCCGACGACGACGGUGGCGCGUCGCUGCCGGUGGAGGGCAGCUGGGUCACGCUUUAUGCGGUCAACCCCGCCAAAUCGCGCACCGCUGCGGCGCCGUUCCCGCGAGCAAAGCUGUUCUUCUCCUCUCGUCAGCUGCACUACGUCCCAUCCAAGAACCCACUUCAGCACUUGCGACGCAUUUGGAUGGCCGCAACAGACAACAAAUCCACCGCUGGGGUCGGUGACGUAGCUGACGUGUGUGGCCUUUACAUGGGCAGUCACAGAAAUGAGCAGGGCACCUUCGCGCUCCUGCUGCUGCGCAACGACACAUAUGCACUCCUUCAGGUCCCAGUGCCGUCUGCUGGGCGGGCACUGUCGCUCCCACUGCCCGCGACAGAGCGGCUUUCACUGGUGGUCCUGAACGCGACCUUUCUUACUGGCGAGGAUCCCGUUGCCGGCUCUGACUGCUGCCGGCUCUUCGCCAAUGAGUACACAGCGGUUCUCCAGCGAUCUACUCAGGCAAACCUGAAGGAGGCCUUGGAGACGGCCGCGCAACUUCGAGGGCUGGUCGAUGCUGCUCCGCAAAAGUACGCCGCUCGGAAAGCAGAGGUGUUCCGGUGUAUUGACGAGGGCGAGCCGAGUGGCGGCUUGGGUCUCGGCAGCAGCACGGCCCUGACCAUCCGUGACGGCCAAGGCGUUCCAGAAGUGCCACUGAACGUUUGGCGCGAUGCACCCCUUGCAAGCCCAAGUGCUGCAGCGACGUCCCUGGUCCCUGCACAGAGGUACGGCAGACUGCCGUACUACCUGCGUCAAGAUAAUGACAGGGCGAUAGCCGGCAAGCUAACGGGCGUACUGCUACCUUCGGCAGCUCUCCCUACCCCUGCCGUCCCAACUGCGGUGCAGGGCCCUUACAGCGCUACUACAAUCCACCCCGGUGUACGUGAGCCGCUUGUGCAGCCCGCGAGCUCCGUCGCUGGCGCUCGCAGCCGCCACUACGGCAAUAUAGCGGACUUAAUGUUUCUGUUCGACCCUCGUCUCAACCGGCGCGCGUGGCACCCGCUUACAGACCCUCUCCAGGUCACCUCCUCGGAAGUUGUGCGGCACGGCGAAUGCUUCAAGCGUGCUCAGCUGUGCUGGCGCCUUUCGGCCGACUCGGCAGAUGACAUGACAUGCAGGGUGGAGGAGAGCAGCAUCCUCGGAACUGUUCUGGAGAGUGUGUGCCCUUUGCAGGAACUGUGCUCCGUCAUCGCAGACGAACGACAUAUCGACGUCUCGCUGGCGAGGAGUGAGCGACUUGUGCAGUGGCGGCGGCAGGAUUCGCUGUCGGUAUGGUGGAGGUUCUUUACUGACUCGCGUGCUCUCGCCUCCCCUGCUGACUUGGAUGGUGCAUCCAGCGAGCAUCUGUGGUGGCUGCCUGCGGAGUGGACCGCGGCGAUGAGGACAGUGAGUGCAAAGCUGCAAGCUGCCUUCUUCUACUUCUCCCUCAGCGGCGAGGUGCUGCGUCAUGUGCGUCUCAUCUCUGACUGCUGCAGUGUAGCGGAGCUGCCCUGCGACUAGGGGCGGAAGUUCCCACGUGUGGACUCUCCCUCGCGAAUGAGCGCUGUCGAGCGUUUUUUUUGUGCCCAGUGGCUGCAAUGCAGAAACG
rnacentral:misc_RNA from 1 species